rnacentral:ncRNA from 1 species
UUCUUAGAGGGAUAAGCGGUGUUUAGCCGCACGAGAUUGGGCGAUAACAGGUCAUUGAUGCCCUCAGAUGUCCGGGGCUGCACGCGCGCUACAGAGGAGGAAUCAGCUGGCCCAGCACCCACCCUCAGAACACUUUUUGAGCUCUCGACAGAUUCUGAAAGACGAACUCAAAA